rnacentral:lncRNA from 1 species
UCACUAACGCUUGCCUGGGGAAUCCCUCUGCCUUCUCUCCAGGUAACGACCAGACUCCAGUCCUGUACCUCAACGCUUCCAGUGCCAAGGAGGGGGAAAUAAUUCUCUUUCAGUGUGCCAUUGAUUGGCAGUUUCCUGCUACACGAGUUGUCUUCUGCAAGAAUGGGCAGGAGGAGUUCAGUCUGAAAGCCCAGCAGGGCAAGGUCACCUAUACUCUGGUCCUGAACAUCACCUCCAGAAAUGCUGGGACGUACAAGUGUGGGUACCAGCAGAGGAACGAGGGCAACUGGGUGAGGAACUCUGCUCUCAGUGCUCCCCAGACCCUGUCUGUACCAGGUGAGACACGGCCCCAGUGUGGUGGUGGCAGAAGGGACACGGGCUGUGCUGAGGCUGGAGCUGUGUGCUGCAGCAGGCAGGGCAUGGCUCUGGGGUGGUUCCCCCUUGGGAGUGUUCCCUCUCCUCCGAGGGAGCCCCUUGAGAGAAAGCUGCUCUCAAGGGCUGUCCCCCUCCCUGCAUCAGCACCUACACAAUAGAUAGACUUUGUGAAGCAGAUGAGGGCAUGUGCCCUGAAAUGUUUAGGAUACUCAGCAAUAGUGUGUUUUUUCGGCACUUUUAUGCCUUCCCUGGGGAUGGUGCUGGCUGUCGGUGGAUGGAUGUGCCCAUGGGGCUGUGUGUCCCCUGCCCCACACACACGUGCUCAGGGAUGUUGCAGGACACGAGAUAAAUAUGUGCCUAGUCUGGGCAGUACGGGGCAAGCUGCAGACACUCAUCCUGUUCCUUUCUCCUGCCAGGCAGUGAGUCCAGCUCCUCAGCAAGGCCGUUGCCCCCAGGCAGUGUGUCCAACUCCCCAGCAGGGCCAUCACACCCGGGUGCCUGCAGAGCGAGAUGCCCAAGGCAGCAGCACGUUGACAGCCCACAAGAAGAAGACACCAACAACGACAAUAUUCAGUACUCCACCAUCGCCCACGUUCGACGGGACAGGCAGGAUCACAAUCCAGAUCAGAGGAGGAAGAAAUACCUUGCAAAGCAUCUCACCCUUCUGUCGGUACGAACAUUUCCCAAAGCUGCGAAACCAGAGAAUGCAGGUGGGCUGGGACGACAAGCUCAGGCCAAGUGUAAUUAAAGCUGGACACAAAAAAUAGAAAAUCCACAGGGGAGUUUUUCAGAUGGCAGCUGUGAGAAAAAUGAGAUUUGCGCUUGGGGAUUUCCUGUGUAAUGAAGGGGGCUGCUGCAUGCAGGGUUGUUUCAGGGAAAAAAAAAAAAAAAGAAAAAAGAAAAAAAAAAAAAGGAGAAAAAAGUCCCUGCUGUGGGACUACAACGAGGUCCAGGCUCACAGAGCACCCACAGCAGGAUGCUGGGGAGGUCAGGAUGGGACUUCUGACCACCCAAAGUGUCCCACAGCAUCUUGUCCUGAGGACGGACAAGCUAUGUUAUCUUUUGGUGGUUGGAUUUCAAAAAAAUAAAAAUAACUCUUUAUGUGGCA